rnacentral:rRNA from 1 species
UACAGAGGUCUCAAGCGUUGUUCGGAUUCAUUGGGCGUAAAGGGUGCGUAGGCGGUGCAGCAAGUCGGGUGUGAAAUCCCUCAGCUCAACUGAGGAAUGGCGCCCGAAACUGCUGUGCUCGAGGAAGAUAGAGGUACGCGGAACUUAGGGUGGAGCGGUGAAAUGCGUUGAUAUCCUAAGGAACACCGGUGGCGAAAGCGGCGUACUGGGUCUUUUCUGACGCUGAGGCACGGAAAGCUGGGGUAGCGAACGGG